AGAACUGAAUGUUUUCCAGCCUGUCUGACUACUCCAGGACCCAGAUUACUCCAGUUAGGGGUGAGAGUUAAUCUCUGAUGUCCUUCUCAUCAACCACGUCCUGUAAACACCUGACGACACUUGACAGCACAAGAACCUGGUAACUACUCAUUCUUCCACGAGAACAUCAUGACCAGUUCGAUUUAAGAGCCUGAGAACAGCUGUGACCUCAGACCAGUUAUCAUUGAGGUGCUUUUUGAAUCUAAUUAUAAGAAGAACUUCAUUGAAAACCAUUCAGUUAUUAUCACAAUCAAAAGAAGUUCAUUGUGGCCGUGCUGGGAGGCCCAUCAACCACUACCAUCUUUUUUCAGCACUGG